CCCUUAGAUGUUCUGGGCUGCACGCGCGCCACACUGACAUACUCAGCAAGUUUCCUUGCCUGAAAGGGUUGGGUAAUCUUGUUAGUGUAUGUCGUGAUGGGGAUAGAAUAUUGUAAUUAUUGCUCUUUAACGAGGAAUUCCUAGUAAGCGCAAGUCAUCAGCUUGCGUUGAUUACGUCCCUGCCCUUUGUACACACCGCCCGUCGCUCCUACCGAUUGGGUGAUCCGGUGAAUGAUUCGGACUCUGGCUAUGCUAGCUACUAGCUACGUCAGGGAAAGUUUUGUGAACCUUAUCACUUGGAGGAAGGAGAAGUCGUAACA
rnacentral:rRNA from 1 species